rnacentral:rRNA from 1 species
UACGUAGGGGGCUAGCGUUGUCCGGAAUCAUUGGGCGUAAAGCGCGUGUAGGCGGUCCGGUAAGUCCGCUGUGAAAGUCGGGGGCUCAACCCUCGAAUGCCGGUGGAUACUGUCGGGCUAGAGUACGGAAGAGGCGAGUGGAAUUCCUGGUGUAGCGGUGAAAUGCGCAGAUAUCAGGAGGAACACCAAUGGCGAAGGCAGCUCGCUGGGACGGUACUGACGCUGAGGCGCGAAAGCGUGGGGAGCAAACAGG